GGCUGGAAAAACAUGAUGAAGAGUGAUGGAAUGAUGAUAGAGAGAAUUGAUUUCAUCGCCAUUUCGACUAUCCAACAGUAAUGAGAUUGGUAGACAUCAUCUUUAUUGACUCCCCAGUUGGUGUUAGCUUUUCCUACUUCAACAACUCCGAGGAUGUUCUGAACAAUGUAGAUAAAUGAACUGGUGGGAAAUGCUUUGACCGAUGAUUUCACUGUCCAUAUGGGAGUUUUCCAGUUUAUGUGGUCUACAGCUUUGAUUUAUUGGUAACCUUCAAGCUUAUGAACCUCUAUUGUGACUUCGAAUAGUUUAUUCACACCUCAAGCCA